rnacentral:tRNA from 1 species
GGUGGUGUAGCUCAGUGGUAGAGCACUUGCCUAGCAAGUGGCCUCAAUCACCACUA